rnacentral:rRNA from 1 species
UACGUAGGGUGCAAGCGUUGUCCGGAAUUAUUGGGCGUAAAGAGCUCGUAGGCGGUUUGUUGCGUCGGCUGUGAAAUCCCGAGGCUCAACCUCGGGUCUGCAGUCGAUACGAGCAAACUAGAGUGUUGCAGGGGAGACUGGAAUUCCUGGUGUAGCGGUGAAAUGCGCAGAUAUCAGGAGGAACACCGGUGGCGAAGGCGGCUCACUGGCUCAUUUCUGACGCUCAGGCGCGACAGCGUGGGGAUCAAACAGG